rnacentral:lncRNA from 1 species
ACUUUAGCAUGGCUUUAUCCGAUCUCUCCGUCUGAGAUUUUGAACCUCACAGUAACAGAUUGAUGCUAAAAGGAGGGCUCAUGCCCAAAAAUUUGAUGGAAAAAUGAUGAAUCAGAUAGCAUGAAACAACUACGUGCCUUCACUAUCUUUUUUUGGAGAUGUGCUAGAAAUAGCUUCACCUCCAUUUCAAUAGAGAUUGGGGGC